rnacentral:lncRNA from 1 species
AGCUUAUAAAACAGAGUCCAAAAAAUGUACCAACGACUCUGUCUUAUCAGGAUAGGAAAUGACGGCAGGAAAACUCAAAACCCUCCCAUCACAAGCCCUUCCAGCAGAAUGGGUCACCCUUGCAACACCCAUCAGGAAACCUGGAUGAUGAGGAACCGUCUGUGCAGCCACCCAAGACAGCCUGGAAAACAGGAGGGGAAAUUGGGACAGGCCUUAGCUGGAAUUUUAUGUUUUCCAUAAUUUAGAAUGAGACUAUCUAUCCUGCUUGACUACUUCCUUUCCUAAAGCCAUCCUGCUUGUAAAGGUGAAGAUCUGUCACCCUGAAAGGCUUAAUAACUCUUCUGACACUCAGUUUGUGUCUGUCCCCUAUGGGGAUGUCCCUCUACCCCUCAGAGCCACCUCGGGCUGAGGAUGAGUCCAGGAAACAACAAACAACAGGCUGAAAACCUGAGCUGUGCAGCAGCGGGGGGCAGUUCUCAUCAGCAGAAACAGCCAAGCAAAUGCUGGCCACAUGACGGGAAUCCAGUGCGAGGGUGACCUACGGGGACCCUUCCUCCUCCAAGGGCCUCUCUUUACCUUACAACAAUCACAAGCCCUGCCGAGCUGCGUGACCUCAGGACGGAGGGCUCUUUCUCGGUUUUUAGUAGCUUAUAGGGGCAGCAGCCUUGGUCUUGAGAGACCUGUUAAAGAGUUGGCAGGCUGUGAUCAAAUGCAACAGGGACAUCACUAGCAGGGAUCAAGUUGUUUUCCCAGAAUGCUCAAUAAACAUACAUUGCUUUUACAAAAGAAAAUAGCGAAACUUUUA